rnacentral:tRNA from 1 species
GGCUGUGGCUUAGUGGUAGAACACUUGCCUCUCACGCAUGAGGCACUGGGUUCGGUCCUCAGCACCA